AUUCAGGCAGGCAGCGAGGCUUCAGACGUCAUCAUUUUUGGCUCCUCCUCUAAAGGAAGCAAGUCUCGAUACCGCUUCGUGGAAAUGCCCACUCCGUUACUCGAAACACGCUUCAAAACCUCGGCACAUCUCCUAACAUCUCUAACUUUGUUUUUGGGGUAAAACACGGUGGAAGUUGCAUUAGUGAGGGUGACUCCUGCUCCUGUCAUCUCUAAGCUCCUCACACAUCUUUACCUGCACAUGAGGAAGAUCACUCCUGUAGAAUGCAGAUGUUCAGAGGGAGAUGAUGCCACAUCUGGUCCAGCUGAUGGAAGGUCUUGAAGUUCUCUGACUGGCCUCGACUGAAGAUGGUCGUCUCACUGGAUUUAAGGUUCAGAUGCUCAGUAACAAACUCCACCAAUGUGGCAACAGGGAAGCUUUAGGUUUAUUAAAUGUUGCUAUGAAGGUUUCGCUGUUUUUCUUUGUGAAUGCAAUGUGCUCCAACUGAAACUUGAAUUAGAACUUAGAAGUAAAUCCUUCCAUCUGAAAGGAUUUAGUUGCAUUAAUAACCUCAUAACAUUCUAAUUUUUAUUCCAGUCUUGGUUGAAAAUAGAAUCUUUGUAUUAAUUCAGGUAAAAACUGAACUUCACAGCAUGUUGAAGCAAAACAACCAGAUGAAAACUGUGAUGGUGUUGGAUUGUCAGACCGUAAUGUUGCAGCUCAAAGCAGCUUUUUUUUUUUUAUCUCAGUUCAUUCUGACAUUCAGCUAUGAAUCAACACAGCAGAUGGUGAUCCAUGCUGUGGAAGUGUCACAUCUCCUGAUUUAAUGGAGCUGCUUUGCACUUUUUACACUGUUUAUUCACCAACACUUUAUUUAAUAAAAGUCCCAUCUAGUUUUUAUGAGGAAUGUGAUGUUUUAAUUUCUCUGUGAAUAACUGCAGUCUAAUGCAACAGCUGGAGUUGUAACAUCUGUCCUGAUAUUGAUCAUGAAGUAUUGAUCAGAAUACUUAUGGUCAGCAGUCAUCCCUGAAGUUUUACAUUAAAAUCUUUACUUGUGUUGUGAACUUUGGUAAGAAGCAGAAACGUUAGCGUUGCCAUGGAUACAUCAGUGUUAAAUUCUGUCCAUGUUUCCAUUUUGGUAAAUUCAGUCCAGUUCCAGAAUGUGGAGGAAUUUAGUCUCACAAUCACAGACAACAAAUAUUCGGGUUAUUGUUGUUUAUCAGCACAAUACAAAAAGAUUAAUGUUAGAAAUAUUCCAGUUAAGACCCUAGAAUAUCAUGAUUUAUGGAAAUUUACCUCAAUAAUAUGAAUGUUCAGGUUAAGAUUGUACAGUGAUAUUUAUUAUGUAAGUUUAGCUGAUUAAAGUUUAUGACUCUGCACUAAAAUAUUAUUUAAAUUGACAUCAUUAUUAUAAUAUUUAGGGUCAGACCCUACAGUAUUGAGAUUAAGAAAUCAAAUAUUCUAUAAAAUGUAAAUACACUGAACUCAUUUGGAUAUAUUUAAGUGAGACUGUACAAUAUUAUUUGACACAAAUCUAUCUAAAUCAAAAUUUUAAUCAUUUUCACGCCAAACAUUUACUGGACUGAUUUAAAUAUUAAAAUCACUCCUUUCUAAUCCUCUGCUGUACAUUCAAACCUGAGGCCUUAAAUAGAAACACGCAAGUAUCUGUUAGAAGGAACUUCUGCAGAGUCCUGGUUCCAGAACAUGAUGAUAGAAUUAUAGACAAACUUUAACAAAAGCUGCCUGAGAGUUUACAGGUUUUUAUGUUGGAUUUCUUCAGUAAUUUAAUAAGCGUUAUCAGCAAAAAUUGAGUGUUCAUUUGAUGAACUUCAUUUCCUAAAACAUCCAGAAUUGGAGCUCAUAUCUUUGACAGCUAUAAAGUUUCUGCUCCUUCAAAGUUCACAACACAAUGAAUUAAUUCCUAAAACACUCUCAAUGCUGGAGAGCGUUUGUGAUGCUGAAGCAGUGAUUAGUUUUUCUGUUUCUUCUCUGGAGAUGCACAAUGAGGGACGUCUGCAGAGACUGAGAAAGAGUCUCACCACAUCCUGACAUGAGGAAAAAGACUUUAUUGAAGACUAGAAUGAGAAAAACUAUCAGACAGCAGACGGCUGCAUUCAAGGUGGACUCUGAACAUUUGAUCUGGAACAGGAAUUCAAUAACGGCAGCAUGAGCUUCAUUUCAGUCUGUAGCUGCUGAAUUCAUGGAUGAAUCAUCUGGCACUAGAGAGGAAGACCAUCAAACAUCCACGUCAGCUGAUGGAGGUCCAAGAGUCUCACCGAACAACCAACCUACAGAGUGAAGACCUCAAAUCUGAUUGGACGGCCUCCUAUUCAGCCACGUGUGAACAAAUGCCUCUAAGUUGAUUUGUUUUCUAAAAUAAAUCUAGAUUGAGUCCUAAUCUAUGCCUGUGUGUUUGCUUCUUUACACCGCUGUUAACAGUUUAGGCUGUUAGAUUGUUCCAGAUAAGACAAGUACAAGAUUCUUCAGAGCCGUUCUACUACGAGCCUGACAGGAAGAACUCC
ensembl:lncRNA